GACGAACCGUGCGAACGUUGUUCGGAAUCACUGGCUUAAAGGGCGCGUAGGCGGCCCGCCGCGUCCGGGGUGAAAUCCUCCCGCUCAACGGGAGAACGGCCUCGGAUACGGGCGGGCUGGAGGCGGGUAGGGGCAGGCGGAACUGUGGGUGGAGCGGUGAAAUGCGUUGAGAUCCGACAGGAACGUCCGGUGGCGAAGGCGGCCUGCUGGACCCGAUC
rnacentral:rRNA from 1 species